rnacentral:rRNA from 1 species
UACAAGCUCGACGCCGAUGAGAUCUACUCAGGAGGAUUGCACGAGCUUCCCCAGCCGGCCGCCGCCCGGAUAUACUCGUCGGUCCAUGGCCCCAAGGAUUUCGCUGCUCUGGGUACCAACAUCUUUGUCACCCUCAACCUUCGUUACUACUUCGACGACGACGAUGACGCUCCCGCUCCCCCAACCAUCGUCUACAACACCAAGACCGAAGCCCUCUGCGUGGGCCCGCCUCUAGAAUCCGGGAUCCCUGCCUUCUUGGCCGCCAUGGCCGCCGGUGAAAAGCUAUAUGCCUUGACAACCGAGGUGCUCGGCUUGCACGCCUUGUUGUGGGCUCCCAGCAGCCAUCCAUGGAACCUACGGGGUGAUGAGAUGGACUGGUCAUGGAAGAGCGAGCCAUCACUGCCGUCGUGCAGUGGGCUGGACGUCGUCGCCUAUGCGUUGCACCCGGACGGGCGCACCAUCUUUGUGUCCACCGCCUCCGCUACCCAUUCCUUCGACACCGGCAAUGGCCUCUGGAAGGAGCUUGGGGACUGGGUGCUGCCGUUCAGAGGACAAGCCUACUUCGACGACAGCCUGGAUGCAUGGGUCGGGAUUCAUCACGAGGGCGAAGGGCACAUUUGCUGCUGCCCGGUCGCCUCCCGCAGCGCCGCCGCCAGCCGGCCGCCGAAGCCGGACUGCAGGAUGCUCAAGGAGAAGCUGUUCCGCCGCAACAAUGAGGAGCCGUGGAUGGGUGGCGGCCGGCACAUGGAUGCCACUCUCACCUACAUGGGCCACAACAGAUUUUGCCUCGUCGAGAACAUCUUGCGGCAUGAGAAAGUUGUCGACAGCAUGCUCCAUCUCACCUUGUUUGGCCUCAAGUAUGAUCGCGAGGGAGAGCUCCGGACGAAGCUCGGCCCUGCACCAGGUCCUAUCCGGUGUCCAAGAACACCAUGCUGUUCUCUCAUGCAGCAUUCUGGAUGUAACUAA